GUAUGGCGAUGACGGCAAGAGCCCAAUUUGAAAUCGGGCAACCGAGUUGUAAUUUGGAGACGGGACACUAGAGAGGAGGAAGGCGAUUAAGUGCCUUGGAACAGGCUGCCGUAGAGGGUGAGAGCCCCGUGAAUCGCUGGAGACCGAUCAAUUAGUGCCCGCCGAAGAGUCGAGUUGUUUGGGAAUGCAGCUCUAAGUGGGUGGUAUAUUCCAUCUAAGGCUAAAUAUUAGCGAGAGACCGAUAGCAAACAAGUACAGUGAUGGAAAGAUGAAAAGAACUUUGGAAAGAGAGUGAAAUAGUACGUGAAAUUGUUGAAAGGGAAGGGUAUUUGAUCCGACAUGGUGUUUAGCAGCGGCCCGUUCCUCGUGGAUGGGUGCACCUGGUUUACACUGGGCCAGCAUCGGUUCUGGGAGCCAUAUACGGGGUUCGUGAAUGUGGCCCUUCGAUUCUGUCGGAGGGUGUUAUAGCGCGGACAUCUUGUGGCUAGCCGGGACCGGGGACUGCGGUGACUUGUCACCAAGGAUGCUGGCAGAACGAGCAAAUACCACCCGUCUUGAAACACGGACCA
rnacentral:rRNA from 1 species